UCUAAUUUCUUGAACAAAUUUCUGAAUUUGUUUGUGAGUGUUACACAGUGUAGCCUCCACCAGGAAUCAUUAUUCAUAAGGGGAAUCCUUAUUUCCCUCUCUGUCUGACUGAAGGACCAGAAGUGCAGCAUCCAAACUAAACAUGAUCUCAUGCCACACAGAUUCCAGCUGCUUCUCUCUGAUGUCCCACGAUGUCUCGCUGGUUUCGUACAAUCGGCUCCUGGGAAACGUAUCCACACCAUGGAAGUGAAGACAACCACCAAGCAGCCCGCCAUGCACUGCAUUCCCUGCUUUUUAAAGCUACUUAUGCAAACAGAGUCGGCCUUCUUCAUUGACAAAGGCGACCCCUCCCAUAGAGGACCCCUCCCAUCUCUAAUUUUCACAGUUGCAGACAAAUCUGUCUGUUCUUCUCACUCAGCGGCCUGAGUCUCACCAGGCUGCUGUGACAUUGAUUCCUACACUUGCCUUUUGAUGGCGAGCUCGACACACAUUUGUUCAUUCCAGCCGCCGACUCCCCACUGGCGGGUUUUUUUUUUCAUCACUCGCAUCCAACCAUCAGGAAUUAAUAUGGAAAUGACUGUUGUCAAUAUUUCUUGAAUGAAAUUUCAGACACAAUAAAAGUGACACGCAACUGAAAGCUGUGGUUAACAUUUGUCAGAACAAAAGAAACACAACUGUCGGAAAGGUUUUUAUGUCCUUAACAAAUGAUCUGCCUGA